rnacentral:lncRNA from 8 species
UAUUGUCAUCACAUGGUUGGUUCUGAGCAGGUAUUAAAAACAUUGACAGUCGUUUAGUGAUGUCACCUAAAUCCUUCCAAUCAUCUUCUUUUCCAGGGAAAUUCCGAGGAGUUCAGAUUCUUUCAUUCCUUCUGGUCCGAGGCAGCAUUGGUAUCAAGUGUUCCUAACAGGUGGGGGCAUAGGGGGUAUUGGUCAUACUGGUGUUGUUGGCGAGGACGAAGCUUGGGCAUCGGGCAGAAUGUUGCCACCUGCAUGAGUGGAACAGAGGAGCCUCAGUUCUGGUUCUCUUUCCUGAGACGACAACCACAGGAUGAGGCUUGAGAGGAGAUACACUGGGUUGUGGCGACGACAUCCAGCUGAAGGAAAGCCUCGGGUUCGGGACCAUUUUUCUGUCAUGCCACUUUGCAUGGCUACCUCUUGAUAAUACCCCCAAAAAUCUAAUUAAUUGUGCAGGGGGAUGGGAGAUGGGGAAGUACCGAAAAGAGCCUUGAGAAACACAUGAAGCUCUCUCUUUCCCCUGUUGCAUGUGAAAACACAGUGACAAUCAAACCGCCAGAAGCAUGAAACAAGCCCCAAAAUCACAGGCUUUGUUUUGAAGUUUUGUGCCAGUAGGCUCUUCUAAGAAAAAUGCAUCGGGACAGAAUCAACCAUAAUGAAAUUCUCUCCUCAAAGACAGUCUGCUUUUAAAUUACCAUAACAUUAAACCACUAUGUUUAUCAGUAACUUGACAAAGUGGCUGAGCAGCGCAUUACAUGUCUGUCAUUGUCGUGUAAACCUAUACUUAAAACAAUCAAACAGCAUCUUGAUUUAGGCCUAGAUACAGCGUGUUUAGAAAGUAUUCAAAACCCUUGACUUAUUCCAAAUUCUUUUUGUGUUACAACCUGAAUUCGAAAUGGAUUAAAUUUGUUUUUCUCUCACCGAUCUACACACAAUGCCCCAUAAGGACAAAGUGAAAACAUGUUUUCAGAAAUGUUUGAUAAUUUAUUGAAAAUGAAAUACAGAAAUAUCUCAUUUACAUAAGUAUUCACACCCUAGUCAAUACACAUUAGAAUAACCUUUGCAGUGACUACAGAUGUGAGUCUUUCUGGGUAAGUCUCUAAGAGCUGUGCACACCUGGAUUGUACAAUAUUUGCACAUUAUUAUGUUUUUAAUUGUUCAAGCUCUGUCAAGUUGUUUGUUGAUCAUUGCUAGACAGCCAUUUUCAAGUCUUGCCAUACAUUUUCAAGCCAAAUAUAAGUCAAAACUGUAACUAGGCCAGUCAGGAACAUUCAAUGUCAUCUUGGUAAGCAACUUCAGUGUAGAGCUGGCCUUGUGUUUUAUGUUAUUGUCCUGCUGAAAGGUGGGUUUGUAUCUGUGUCUGUUGGAAAGCAGACUGAACCAUCCUGUGCUUAGCUCUAUUACAUUUAGUUUUAUCCCAAAAAAUGUCCUUGUCCUUGCUGAUGACAAGUAUACCCAUAACAUGAUGCAGCCACCACCAUGCUUGAAAAUAUGAAGAGUGGUACUCAGUGAUGUGUUGUGUUGGACUUGCCUCAAACAUAACACUUUGUAUUCAGGAUAUAGUUAAUUUCUUUGCCAAAUGUUUUGCAGUUUAACAUUAUUGCAAACAGGAUGCAUGUUUUGGAAUAUUUGUAUUUUGUACAGGCUUCCUUCUUUUCACUCUGUCCUUUAGGUUAGUAUUGUGGAGUAAUUACAAUGUUAUUGAUCCAUCCUCAGCAUUCUCCUAUCACAGCCAUUAAACACUGUAACUGUUUUAAAGUUACCAUUGGCCUCAUGGUGAAAUCCUCUCCGGCAACUGAGUUAAGAAGGAUGCC